UGUGGUGGUGUGUGGUGGGGUGUGGAGGUGGUGUGUGGAGGUGGUGUAGGGGGGUGUGGAGGUGUGUAGUGGUGUGUGGAGGUGGUGUAGUGGUGUGUGGAGGUGGUGUAGUGGGGUGUGGAGGUGGUGUAGUGGGGUGUGGAGGUGGUGUAGUGGUGUGUGGAGGUGUGUAGUGGUGUGUGGAGGUGGUGUAGUGGGGUGUGGAGGCGUGUGGAGGUGUUGUAGUGGGGUGUGGAGGUGGUGUAGUGGGGGUGUGGAGGCGUGUGGAGGUGUGUGGAGGUGGUGUAGUGGUGUGUGGAGGUGGUGUAGUGGUGUGUGGAGGUGUGUGGAGGCGUGUGGAGGUGGUGUAGUGGUGUGUGGUGGUGGUGUGUGGAGGUGGUGUAGUGUGGAGGUGGUGUAGUGGGGUGUGGUGGUGUGUGGAGGUGGUGUAGUGGGGUGUGGUGGUGUAGUGGGGUGUGGGUGUGGAGGGAUAAGAUGAGAUGAGUUCUGUUCUGAUGAGAUGAGAUCUGUUCAGAUGAGAUGAAAUGAG
ensembl:lncRNA